GCCGUGCUCUUCAUUUAUGAUGUCACCUCCCCUGCUAGCUUCACUGGCCUCACCGCCUGGUUAGAAGAGUGCCGGCAAAACUCCCUCGGUCAGGAAAUACCCAGGUUCCUGGUGGGGAAUAAGAGCGACCUCCGUGAUUCCAGCAGGACCGGCAGCCAAGUGAACCAGGAGCAGGCCAUGAGCUUUGCCAAAACCCACGGCAUGAUGUUUUUUGAGACGUCUGCAAAGAAGCCGCCGAAGAAAUGCACAAAAGGAAGACGAGGUGACGGGGAGGCGCUGUAUCAGCAGGACAAGGUGGAGGAUGUCGUCACCGCUGUUGCUGCCAAACUGAAGAGACAGAAGAAACCCUCAGUGACAAACACACCAACAUACGGAGGGUCAUUUAAAGUCGGGAACAAGAAAAAACCAGAGAAGGACCUGUGGAACUGCUGCUGAGAGAAAAGAGUAUGACUUUCUAGCUGUUUAUAUGUGAGUUUGUGAGAAUGAAUAUGUGCAGGUUGUUCAUUUUUGACCAAAGAUCAGGAAACGUUUACAUGUGAAUACAGUCGUUUCCACACAGAACUUUGAUACUUGUAUGAGAUGAACUUCUUGGAAAUUUUUUGUAUAUAUGUGAUCUUACUGUCUACUAUAGCUGCAAAAUAAAAUACUGUGAAUGUAAACCUUCAAGUGACUUGCUAGUGCAGCGAGUAAUUUACUGGGAAGUAUCUGUGGCAGUGCUCAUAGUAGCUGUGGUGUGUUCCUGCUUGGACUCUUUAUUUGUAGAGUAACAGUGCAAUUUGCCACAAGAAGAACCCCAGCAGCAUGAAAAUGUCAUAUGAUGGGAUUUUAUCCCAGCAUCUAAACAGUGUCUUGUAAUAGACAAAUCCAAACAGUUAUUAGUCAUGUGAGAGCUGCAAAUACUGUCUAGUAGCAACCUAACUGUAGAGGUUCAUUUGCAUGUACUUAACUUUACAGAAACAUUUGCUUUUCAGUUGUAAUUGCAACUUGACAGAACAGCAGCACAUAAGAUUGCAUCAACUUUCACCACCAGUAUUAUAAAUGCAACACUUUCAACCCAUUAAGACAAAGAUAAAACAUGUGUGUACCUGUGCGUGUGUUUAAUGGUGCCUUAAGUUGCAUUAGGUGCUUCUUUAUUGGCUCUAAUGUUUGCUCUAUUUCUGUCUGAAACUGAACAUGUAGACAGGAACCAUGCACAUUUAUAAAUGUUUUUGUUGACUGGCACCUCCAACUCCUGAUGUUUCUCCACUUGCUGUGACACAAGCUGACAGCUGAGUGCCAAUAGUUGCCUAAAUAGCAUUUGAUUGGAUAAAUUUCUG
ensembl:lncRNA